GAUGAACGCUGGCGGCGUGCCUAAUACAUGCAAGUCGAGCGGACGGAAUGGAGUGCUUGCACUCCUUGAAGUCAGCGGCGGACGGGUGAGUAACACGUGGGUAACCUACCUAUAAGACUGGGAUAACUUCGGGAAACCGGAGCUAAUACCGGAUAAUAUGUAUCGCCUCAUGGCGAAACAGUGAAAGACGGUUCUGCUGUCACUUAUAGAUGGACCCGCGGCGCAUUAGCUAGUUGGUGAGGUAACGGCUCACCAAGGCGACGAUGCGUAGCCGACCUGAGAGGGUGAUCGGCCACACUGGGACUGAGACACGGCCCAGACUCCUACGGGAGGCAGCAGUAGGGAAUCUUCCGCAAUGGACGAAAGUCUGACGGAGCAACGCCGCGUGAGUGAAGAAGGUUUUCGGAUCGUAAAACUCUGUUGUAAGGGAAGAACAAGUACGUUAGUAACUGAACGUACCUUGACGGUACCUUACCAGAAAGCCACGGCUAACUACGUGCCAGCAGCCGCCGUAACAC
rnacentral:rRNA from 1 species